UGGGGAAUAUUGGACAAUGGGGGGAACCCUGAUCCAGCCAUGCCGCGUGUGUGAAGAAGGCCUUAUGGUUGUAAAGCACUUUAAGCGAGGAGGAGGGUACUGGUAUUAAUACUACCAGGUACUGGACGUUACUCGCAGAAUAAGCACCGGCUAACUCUGUGCCAGCAGCCGCGGUAAUACAGAGGGUGCGAGCGUUAAUCGGAUUUACUGGGCGUAAAGCGUGCGUAGGCGGCUAAUUGAGUCGGAUGUGAAAUCCCCGAGCUUAACUUGGGAAUUGCAUUCGAUACUGGUUAGCUAGAGUGUGGGAGAGGAUGGUAGAAUUCCAGGUGUAGCGGUGAAAUGCGUAGAGAUGUGGAGGAAUACCGAUGGCGAAGGCAGCCAUCUGGCCUAACACUGACGCUGAGGUACGAAAGCAUGGGGAGCAAACAGG
rnacentral:rRNA from 1 species